UACGUAGGGUGCAAGCGUUAAUCGGAAUUACUGGGCGUAAAGCGUGCGCAGGCGGUUCUUUAAGACAGAUGUGAAAUCCCCGGGCUUAACCUGGGAACUGCAUUUGUGACUGAAGAGCUAGAGUACGGCAGAGGGGGAUGGAAUUCCGCGUGUAGCAGUGAAAUGCGUAGAUAUGCGGAGGAACACCGAUGGCGAAGGCAGUCCCCUGGGCCUGUACUGACGCUCAUGCACGAAAGCGUGGGGAGCAAAC
rnacentral:rRNA from 1 species